UUGUAGCUGUAGAAGUCAGUCCCUGUUGGGUUGUAACUGUAGAAGUCAGUCCCUGUUGGGUUGUACCUGUAGAAGUCAGUCCUUGUUGGGUUGUAGCUGUAGAAGUCAGGUUGAGAUGUAGAAGUCAGUCCCGGUCAGGUUGAGUUGUAACUGUAGAAGUCAGUCCCUGUUGGGUUGUAACUGUAGAAGUCAGUCCCUGUCUGGUUGGGUUGUAACUGUAGAAGUCAGUCCCUGUUGGGUUGUAGCUGUAGAAGUCAGUCCCUGUCAAGUUGGGUUGUAACUGUAGAAGUCAGUCCCUGUUGGGUUGGGUUGUAACUGUAGAAGUCAGUCCCUGUCUGGUUGGGUUGUAGCUGUAGAAGUCAGUCCCUGUUGGGUUGGGUUGUAAAUGUAGAAGUCAGUCCCUGUCAAGUUGGGUUGUAACUGUAGAAGUCAGUCCCUGUCUGGUUGGGUUGUAACUGUAGAAGUCAGUCCCUGUCAGGUUGGGUUGUAGCUGUAGAAGUCAGUCCCUGUCUGGUUGGGUUGUAACUGUAGAAGUCAGUCCCUGUCAGGUUGGGUUGUAACUGUAGAAGUCAGUCCCUGUCUGGUUGGGUUGUAGCUGUAGAAGUCAGUCCCUGUCAGGUUGGGUUGUAACUGUAGAAGUCAGUCCCUGUUGGGUUGUAGCUGUAGAAGUCAGUCCCUGUCAGGUUGGGUUGUAGCUGUAGAAGUCAGUCCCUGUUGGGUUGGGUUGUAACUGUAGAAGUCAGUCCCUGUCAGGUUGGGUUGUAACUGUAGAAGUCAGUCCCUGUUGGGUUGUAGCUGUAGAAGUCAGUCCCUGUCAGGUUGGGUUGUAACUGUAGAAGUCAGUCCCUGUUGGGUUGUAGCUGUAGAAGUCAGUCCCUGUUGGGUUGUAACUGUAGAAGUCAGUCCCUGUCAGGUUGGGUUGUAACUGUAGAAGUCAGUCCCUGUCUGGUUGGGUUGUAACUGUAGAAGUCAGUCCCUGUCUGGUUGGGUUGUAACUGUAGAAGUCAGUCCCUGUCAGGUUGGGUUGUAACUGUAGAAGUCAGUCCCUGUCUGGUUGGGUUGUAACUGUAGAAGUCAGUCCCUGUCUGGUUGGGUUGUAACUGUAGAAGUCAGUCCCUGUCUGGUUGGGUUGUAACUGUAGAAGUCAGUCCCUGUCAGGUUGGGUUGUAACUGUAGAAGUCAGUCCCUGUCAGGUUGGGUUGUAACUGUAGAAGUCAGUCCCUGUCUGGUUGGGUUGUAACUGUAGAAGUCAGUCCCUGUCAGGUUGGGUUGUAACUGUAGAAGUCAGUCCCUGUCUGGUUGGGUUGUAACUGUAGAAGUCAGUCCCUGUCUGGUUGGGUUGUAACUGUAGAAGUCAGUCCCUGUCUGGUUGGGUUGUAACUGUAGAAGUCAGUCCCUGUCAGGUUGGGUUGUAACUGUAGAAGUCAGUCCCUGUCUGGUUGGGUUGUAACUGUAGAAGUCAGUCCCUGUCAGGUUGGGUUGUAACUGUAGAAGUCAGUCCCUGUCAGGUUGGGUUGUAACUGUAGAAGUCAGUCCCUGUCUGGUUGGGUUGUAACUGUAGAAGUCAGUCCCUGUCUGGUUGGGUUGUAGCUGUAGAAGUCAGUCCCUGUCUGGUUGGGUUGUAACUGUAGAAGUCAGUCCCUGUCUGGUUGAGUUGUAACUGUAGAAGUCAGUCCCUGUCCUGGUUGUAGCUGAAGAAGUCAGUCCCUGUCUGGUUGUAGCUGUAGAAGUCAGUCCCUGUCCUGGUUGUAGCUGAAGAAGUCAGUCCCUGUCUGGUUGUAGCUGUAGAAGUCAGUCCCGGUCCUGGUCAGGUUGGGAGGGGUGUCAGUGCUGUUACUCUGAAGGUAUUGCACUUGUCCCGGCCUGUUUAGGAUUGAGGAGAUGGUGCUCCUACUCUUUGAACCUGCUGCUAAAGCAGUAACUGCUUGAUGCAUGUUUGAAAUGAAUGAAUGAAACAUAUAUUUACCAAAAAUGAGACUUGUAUGUUUUCUGUCUCAUGAUUCAGUUUUUUCUAGGUUUGUUUUUAAUGAAUGAAGAGGUAGUUUUCUAAAUUGUAGAUUGAUUGUCGGAGCUUAAAUGUGUCCGUCCAUAUGGUGAGUAAUUGUUUCAUGCUGUGGUUUUGUCUCAAAUAAAGUUUCCAUGAAAUGUA